GGUGCUAUACCGUUGAAAAGCACACCAUCGACUGAAGCUCUUAGUCAGCAGCAAAAACCAAACGUCGACACCGAUGACUCCUCCGACAAGCCUGGCGCUCAGGAAACAUCUAACCACGAUGUAGAGGAGGAGUCCGCACAAGCGUAGGACCAAAAGUAAAAUGUUGUUGCGUGCUUCUGAAUGUGCAUCUGAAGCAGCUACACGUCUGAACUGAAGGAGGCCAGUAGGAUUUAUUCUGCGCGAACACAAGAACCGAGUGAGUUUCUGCUGGCUGGGUUUAAAACGCGACAAGCAUUUCUGUUCAUAUCAGUGUUACAGCGAACCCUCGGUGCGGUCUACUAUCUGGGAGGAAACUGACUUAAACCAUCUGCUCUUACUGGAAACAUGAUUCAUAUACGAAGAGACUCGCCUGAAUGAGACAACUGUGUUUUUUAUUGUGUUGGUGGUUCUAGUUUUGAUUCUCCAUCAACAGCAGCAUUGUCGCCUGCUGUGUGUGUGUGUGGGGGGGGGGGGGGGGAUGUUUUUAGCCACGUCACAGUUUGUAGAGGAAUGGAAAGAGCUUGGAAAAAAACAAAAAAAAGCAAUGUAAUAAUGUUAACUAUAAGCUGACGUGGCUGCAGCUAGAAAAUAAAAUUGACGAGAGGAGUGGAGACACCUGGGCAACAUCGCAACUGAACAGGUGAGAGUGGGCGGGGCAUGAGCUGAGGAAUGGGAACCAGCUAAGGAAGGGUGAACUGACCGCCUGAAAACAAAAAACAAGGAAAACCUUGUGGAAAACGAAUGUAAAACACCAAACAAAGACAAUCAUAAAGACAGAACGUGACACUGCAUGUUGGUGAGUUUGUGUUUCACUAAAUGAACCUUUGAAUCGGUCUAAUCCAAGAUGGCCGUCACACCCACCUCGCAUUAGGAUACACAUAAUGACUUUAAUUCAGACGUCAAACUAAAGUUUGGUCUAGUUCACGGGUCUGCAAUCUUUUUGAUCUAAAGAGCCACUCGCUGAAUAAAAUUUGUCUGGAGCCGCAAAACCUGCUUAUCAACUGGUGGCCCGUGGGCCACUUAGAGGUCGCUGGAGGAGGGCUUUUCUGUCCAUUUGGGCUGACAUUUUAAAACUAAAAAUAUAUAAUGAAUUUUUACAUUUAUUGAUAUUUUUACAUUUUAGAGUAAAAGGAAAGACCAAAAGUAGGAAAAAACAUUGUUUAUACUGAGUCUCUGCAGGAUUAUGAGUUUUUCUGACUUAUAAUUUUGUAGAGUCAGUGACGUGCAGUGAGGUUUGUUGACGGGUGAGGCACCGACUGUCUGGAAUCAAUGCUCGCAUAAUGAACCCAAAAUUAGGGAUGGGGCCGAUCUGGUAUCGGUAACGGCCUCCGAUACCAGCGUAAUUUACGUAUCGGGAUUUUUCCGAUCCAUGAUGAAUGUCUGUGUCUGAUGACCUGCUCUUCAGGUUGGCUUCAAACUAUGGAAUGGAUUUCCUGAACGGAGGCGUGUCUCGUGAACCCAUUUCAUCCAUUUCAUUGUUUGUAGCCAGCUACAACGUGAGUAAAUACUUUUUUGAGGGCUGAGCACUGAGCAGCACUGUUGCCAACGGCUAACCAACUUUUCAUCGUAACAUGUCCGCUGUGUGAAAAUAUUUUACACUAAACGCCGCAAGACAGCAACGUGCAAUGUCUGCAGAGCCACUGUACCGAGAGGAGACCUACAAUACACCGAACUUAAACAUUUGAAAAAGCAUCACAUUAAAGCGCACGAGGAUUGUUUAGCCAGGCACCGCGGUAAAGUUAGUUUUACGUUGGGCGUUCGAGCUCCGUGGCUUCAGCGGUGUGUUUCUCUCGUUAAGUCCGAAGCAGACAGUCGUAUCCACUUUAAAGCUAGGAA